AUACCAGAGUUUGUCGCUGUUUAGCGAGGUAUUACCAGGUUGUGGUCGAUUAUGUAGCAAUCGACAGGGAUGCCCUCUGAGCGCGCAGUUCCUUCGAGUUGGUCUUGUGAGUUAUAGAGGGCCCUCACUUGUCUUCUCGAUUGACACAUUUGGAUUCUAAGAUCUCGGUAUACGUUAUCUUAGUUUCCGAGUAUUGAGAUGCUUACUGCUUAGCGGCAGUGGAGCGUCUGGGGUAGCCUUAACUAUUUUAGGGGACACUAGCUAGUCGUCGAAGAAAGAAGAUAUAUAUGUAAAUUAUAAGCAAACAUAAAGUAACUAUAUUGAUGGUUGUUGGCAUGAUUGAAUCAAGGGGACCGAGGUUCCCCGGUGAGUAAACUUAAUCUUUAUUAGAUGGGUCAGUACAGUAAAUCGUAAACAUUUUUGUUUCAUGGUACUCUCAAUCUCUUGCUGUAUACAUGGUGGAGCUCGCUGAAUGAACUGCAUUGUCAAUACUCACGAUGGCUCCAAAACAAAAACAGAAUCGCCUCAAGGGCUCCACUAGAUAUAGCGAGGAAAUUAUUCAAAAAGCUCUUGAAGAAAUUCGAUCAGGAGAAUCAAAAAAGGCAACAUCUCGAAAGCAUGGGAUUCCAAGGGCAACCCUAUAGUUCAGACUUAGUAAAAAAUUCAAAAAAAUAAAAAAAGGUCCGUCUACAUACUUGACAGAGGUAAAGGAGAUUCAUUUAAAAGAAUGGAUUAUUGAUAGUCAGUACAAAGGUUGCCCAAGGCGUAAAAUUGACAUUCAAACAUCUGUUCAAACAUUUCUAAAUCAAACUGAUAGAAGAGCACCAUUUAAAAAGAAUUUACCAGGCGAUAAAUGGUUGAACCAUUUUUUUAAAGCGGCAUCCCGAAUUAGCAAAUCGAACUGCAGAGGCGGUUACUUCAGCUUCAGCAAAUGUAGCAGAAAGCGAUAUUAAAAAGUGCUUCACAGAUAUCGAAUUUUAUUUAAAAAAGAAGGACCUAUUUGACAUCAUGAAGGAUCCCAGCAGAAUUUUUAAUGGCGACGAAAUAAACUUUUAUUAUGUGCCAAAACUUGGAAAAGUCGUUGCUCUAAAAGGCUCCAAGAACGUUUACGAAGUAGAUAUGGGAGAUGCGAAACAGAAUCUCACUGUGAUGUUCACCUUCUCAGCAUCGGGUACAAUAACACCGCCGAUGAUCAUCUUCCCAAACAAGAGACUUCCACAAUCGGUAAAGGACAGUGUUCCAGAAGG